rnacentral:rRNA from 1 species
AUUGAACGCUGGCGGCAGGCCUAACACAUGCAAGUCGAGCGGAUGAAGGGAGCUUUCUCCUGGAUUCAGCGUCGGACGGGUGAGUAAUGCCUAGGAAUCUGCCUGGUAGUGGGGGAUAACGUCCGGAAACGGGCGCUAAUACCGCAUACGUCCUGAGGGUGAAAGUGGGGGAUCUUCGGACCUCACGCUAUCAGAUGAGCCUAGGUCGGAUUAGCUAGUUGGUGGGGUAAAGGCCUACCAAGGCGACGAUCCGUAACUGGUCUGAGAGGAUGAUCAGUCACACUGGAACUGAGACACGGUCCAGACUCCUACGGGAGGCAGCAGUGGGGAAUAUUGGACAAUGGGCGAAAGCCUGAUACAGCCAUGCCGCGUGUGUGAAGAAGGUCUUCGGAUUGUAAAGCACUUUAAGUUGGGAGGAAGGGCAGUAAGUUAAUACCUUGCUGUUUUGACGUUACCAACAGAAUAAGCACCGGCUAACUUCGUG